GGCGUUUAAAAGUGGGAUAUUUGAACUUAAACAGAGUCGCAGCGGCUGAGCGGAGCAGCUCUCCGGAAGUGAAAGUAGAUGUUUUAAUGAUUAUUCUCACAAUUAAACACCACACACGGCGAGGGGGAAAGCAUCGCAUUUGAGGAGGAUAUUUCGUGUGGAAUCGGCUGAAGGAGAAUAUGGAAACCGCUGCAAGAACCAGCUCGAGCAGAGACCUGAAGCUGCAUCGAGCUGAUAACGAGAAGGUUUCUGCCGGCGGAGCCAAGAGGGUCCCGGUGACCCAGAGCGGUCAGAAGCCCGUGUCGACGCGUGUUCUCGGCACGGCUCCGGGGCCGCAGC